UUGGAGGGCAAGUCUGGUGCCAGCAGCCGCGGUAAUUCCAGCUCCAAUAGCGUAUAUUAAAGUUGUUGCAGUUAAAAAGCUCGUAGUUGAAUUUCGGGAUUGACGUGAUGGUCAUGCCUUAAGGGGUAUGAACUGUUACUGUUGAUUUCUCACCUUCUGGAGAAACUUGAUGUCCUUUAUUGGGUGUCUUGCGGAUCCAGGACCUUUACCUUGAAAAAAUUAGAGUGUUUAAAGCAGGCAUUUUUGCUCGAAUACAUUAGCAUGGAAUAAUAGAAUAGGACGGCAUGGUUCUAUUUUGUUGGUUUCUAGGAUCACCGUAAUGAUUAAUAGGGAUAGUUGGGGGCAUUAGUAUUCAAUUGUCAGAGGUGAAAUUCUUGGAUUUAUUGAAGACUAACUACUGCGAAAGCAUUUGCCAAGGAUGUUUUCAUUAAUCAAGAACGAAAGUUGGGGGAUCGAAGACGAUCAGAUACCGUCGUAGUCUUAACCAUAAACUAUGCCGACUAGGAAUCAGACGAUGUUAAUUUUUUAAUGACUCGUUUGGCACCUUAUGGGAAACCAAAG
rnacentral:rRNA from 1 species